rnacentral:lncRNA from 1 species
CCACUUCCCUGACCAUGACCGCUUCCCUCGCCAUAGCCGCUCCCCUGGCCGCUUCCACUUCCUUGACCAUGACCGCUUCCCUCGCCAUAGCCGCUCCCACUUCCCUGACCCUGGCCGCUCCCCUGACCAUAACCGCUUCCGUGACCGCUUCCCUCGCCAUAGCCGCUUCCCUGACCAUGACCGCUUCCCUCGCCAUAGCCGCUUCCCUGGCCGCUUCCACUUCCCUGACCCUGGCCAUGACCGCUCCCCCUUCCUUGACCCUGGCCGCUUCCACUUCCUUGACCCUGGCCGCUCCCCUGACCACUUCCCUCGCCAUAACCGCUCCCCUGGCCAUAGCCACUUCCGUGACCGCUUCCCUGACCCUGGCCGCUCCCCUGACCAUAACCGCUUCCCUCGCCAUAACCGCUCCCCUGGCCGCUCCCCUGACCAUGACCGCUUCCCUGGCCAUAGCCGCUUCCCUGACCGUGACCACUCCCCUGGCCAUAACCGCUUCCCUGACCGUGACCACUCCCCUGGCCAUAACCGCUUCCCUGACCGUGACCACUCCCCUGGCCAUAACCGCUUCCCUGACCGUGACCGCUUCCACUUCCCUCGCCAUAGCCGCUCCCCU